GGCGGGUUCGUCUAUCGGUUAGGACGGUGCCUUCUCAUGGCUCAAAGAGGGGUUCGAUUCCCCUACCCGCUGCCA
rnacentral:tRNA from 1 species